AACGUGUAUAAAUAUGCUGCAAUCUCACCGAGGACAUCAAGGAGAAGAUUCCCUAUGUGGCGUUGGAUUAUGAGCAGGAGGUUGAGACAGCCAAAUCAAGCUCUGCAAUCAAGGUAAUGUUACGUGAGACUUUCAAGAUGGAGC